UACGGGAGGCAGCAGGGGGGAAUAUUGCACAAUGGGCGCAAGCCUGAUGCAGCCAUGCCGCGUGUAUGAAGAAGGCCUUCGGGUUGUAAAGUACUUUCAGUCGUGAGGAAGGUGUUAAGGUUAAUAACCUUAGCAAUUGACGUUAGCGACAGAAGAAGCACCGGCUAACUCCGUGCCAGCAGCCGCGGUAAUACGGAGGGUGCGAGCGUUAAUCGGAAUUACUGGGCGUAAAGGGCACGCAGGCGGUUAAUUAAGUUGGAUGUGAAAUCCCCGGGCUUAACCUGGGAAUGGCAUUCAAGACUGGUUAGCUAGAGUCUUGUAGAGGGGGUAGAAUUCCAUGUGUAGCGGUGAAAUGCGUAGAGAUGUGGAGGAAUACCGGUGGCGAAGGCGGCCCCUGGACAAAGACUGACGCUCAUGUGCGAAAGCGUGGGGAGCAAACAGGGAUUAGAUAC
rnacentral:rRNA from 1 species